ACGUGAUUGAAAAACGCAACUCAGCACUUAGUCGGUGGAAACAAUCAUCGAUUGCAAAUCCCACAACGCAGCAAAAUCAGAUCACCGUGUAUAAUAUAAAACAAAUACGUGAAGGAUACAUCAGAACACCUAUUCAACUUCGUUCCUUUGGCAUCAUCCCAAACUCAAAGUCAGAGUGAACGGGAGUCAGGGGUGAGACGUCUGUCCUUGGGGGUCAAGAGGAAGGCAACACCCGUUUACUCGUUUAUCAAAAAACCACAUCGGAAUGGAGGUACAAAAGUCAUCAAAAUAGAAAUUUACGACAGUAACAAAUUGAAUGAGAACUUUGAACAUAUAUGUAAAUGUAAUGCCGAGCUGUGUGCCCAAUAUGUAGUGAAAAAUACGUUAUUAGACCAAGUUUACGAAUUAACGCGUAGAGUAAUUGACAAGAUAGACGAAGGUUUGUCCUCAGAUACGCCACAUGGGUACACCAUCGAAUAAGGGUACAAUUUAAUGUGAUUGUGUAAUAUGAACAUAGUUCUUAAGUUAAUAAACAUUAUAAAAGUA
rnacentral:misc_RNA from 1 species